GGGGAUGUAGCUCAAAUGGUAGAGCGCUCGCUAUGCAAACAAGAUGUACGAGGUUCGAUACCCUGCAUCUGCA
rnacentral:tRNA from 1 species